rnacentral:rRNA from 1 species
GAACGCUGGCGGCAGGCCUAACACAUGCAAGUCGAACGCUCGUAGCAAUACGGGAGUGGCAGACGGGUGCGUAACGCGUGGGAACAGUACCCUUUGGUUCGGAAUAACGUCAGGGAAACUUGAGCUAAUACCGGAUACGCCCGAGAGGGGAAAGAUUUAUUGCCGAAGGAUUGGCCCGCGUCUGAUUAGCUAGUUGGUGAGGUAACGGCUCACCAAGGGCGACGAUCAGUAGCUGGUCUGAGAGGAUGAUCAGCCACACUGGGACUGAGACACGGCCCAGACUCCUACGGGAGGCAGCAGUGGGGAAUAUUGGACAAUGGGCGCAAGCCUGAUCCAGCCAUGCCGCGUGAGUGACGACGGCCUUAGGGUUGUAAAGCUCUUUUACCCGGGAAGAUAAUGACGGUACCGGGAGAAUAAGCCCCGGCUAACUUCGUG